UAGCAACAGCUUAAAACUCAAAGGACUUGGCGGUGCUUUAUAUCCCUCUAGAGGAGCCUGUUCUAUAAUCGAUAAACCCCGAUAAACCUCACCACUCCUAGCUAAACCAGUCUAUAUACCGCCAUCUUCAGCAAAC
rnacentral:rRNA from 1 species